UGUUUCGGCUAGGGGGCCAUCCCGGCUUACCAACCCGAUGCAAACUGCGAAUACCGGAGAAUGUUAUCACGGGAGACACACGGCGGGUGCUAACGUCCGUCGUGAAGAGGGAAACAACCCAGACCGCCAGCUAAGGUCCCAAAGUCAUGGUUAAGUGGGAAACGAUGUGGGAAGGCCCAGACAGCCAGGAUGUUGGCUUAGAAGCAGCCAUCAUUUAAAGAAAGCGUAAUAGCUCACUGGUCGAGUCGGCCUGCGCGGAAGAUGUAACGGGGCUAAACCAUGCACCGAAGCUGCGGCAGCGACACUCAGGUGUUGUUGGGUAGGGGAGCGUUCUGUAAGCCUGUGAAGGUGGCCUGUGAGGGUUGCUGGAGGUAUCAGAAGU
rnacentral:rRNA from 1 species